GUUCGUGAGAAUAGAUGCAGCUGCCUCCUUACUGUGAGAAUCAGUGACAAACAUGUGGGGCUUAUAUCUAAUUCAAAUUAGUAUUAGUGCAGACGUUAAAACCAUG
rnacentral:ribozyme from 1 species